rnacentral:rRNA from 1 species
AGAGUUUGAUCCUGGCUCAGAUUGAACGCUGGCGGCAUGCCUUACACAUGCAAGUCGAACGGCAGCACGGGAGCUUGCUCCUGGUGGCGAGUGGCGAACGGGUGAGUAAUACAUCGGAACGUACCCAGGAGUGGGGGAUAACGUAGCGAAAGUUACGCUAAUACCGCAUAUUCUGUGAGCAGGAAAGCGGGGGAUCGCAAGACCUCGCGCUCUUGGAGCGGCCGAUGUCGGAUUAGCUAGUUGGUGAGGUAAAAGCUCACCAAGGCGACGAUCCUUAGCUGGUCUGAGAGGAUGAUCAGCCACACUGGGACUGAGACACGGCCCAGACUCCUACGGGAGGCAGCAGUAGGGAAUAUUGGACAAUGGGGGCAACCCUGAUCCAGCAAUGCCGCGUGAGUGAUGAAGGCCUUAGGGUUGUAAAGCUCUUUUACCCGGGAUGAUAAUGACAGUACCGGGAGAAUAAGCUCCGGCUAACUCCGUGCCAGCAGCCGCGGUAAUACGGAGGGAGCUAGCGUUGUUCGGAAUUACUGGGCGUAAAGCGCACGUAGGCGGCUAUUCAAGUCAGAGGUGAAAGCCCGGGGCUCAACCCCGGAACUGCCUUUGAAACUAGAUAGCUUGAAUCCAGGAGAGGUGAGUGGAAUUCCGAGUGUAGAGGUGAAAUUCGUAGAUAUUCGGAAGAACACCAGUGGCGAAGGCGGCUCACUGGACUGGUAUUGACGCUGAGGUGCGAAAGCUAGGGGAGCAAACAGGAUUAGAUACCCUGGUAGUCC